UCACAGAAAAGGUAAACAAUUAUACAAUUAUAUGAUAAGCUGCCAGUAUGAUAUACAGUAUAUACAUAUUACAUUCAAAAUUAAAAGGUUAUAAAAUUCAGAAUCGGGGAUAGCCUCUUAUAGCAUGGAUAGUAUCCUGUCAGACCUGAUACACAGAAUUAAUCAGUCUCUGGAAUGGCUCUCAUGAAAUAUUCCACAGUGUUUUAGUCUCCAUUGGUUUAUAGUAAUUUUUCUGUACUUUACAACAAACUCAGUCUUAGCCCAUAGGUAAUUUUGCUGCUUUGCUCUUAGAUUUGAAUGCUUGAGACACUUUAAUGGAUGAUGUAAGACUGCAGUUUCUACAUCAGUAGUAACUCUCCUGGAAUGUUCAUAAUGUCUCUUUUUAAAAACUGUCCUACUCCUCCCAUAUUCUAAUUUUCAAGCAAAAAUAACAAGGAUAUAGAGUUAUAUUAUUUAAGUUAUUCCACCUGAACAGAACCACAUAUAUUGUAUAUAGCUGAUGUACAGGAAGGCUCCUCAGAGGAAAGCACACUGAAAAACAUCCAAAAUAAUGGUUUCACACCAUAACAGGAAAAAAAGGAAAAGGAAAAGGAAAAGGAAAAGGACAUAGAAAGUUACUCCUGACUCUUCAUUUCCAAGGAAUCAAUCAAAGUAGAAAAAUACUAUGAAACACCUACAGGAGAAAACCACGCUACCCUCUACUAUGCCACAAACAUGAGUAAAUGCCAGAAGUCUGGCACAAGAAGAGAAAUGCUGAAAUAUGAGGCCAGGCUCAGACUAACUCUACCAUACAGGCUCCACACUUUAUGGCAUUGCUCUCCUUCUCCAGAUGGCACCCAAAAAUAAUUUAUUAAUGAAUGACAAAGUUCAGAGGGUUCAUACCAGCUGUUCAGUUCUAGUUCCCUUGACCACCCACUUUUUCAGAGCUUAUAGGUUUCACUCCAGUUUCAGACUCUUUGAAUCCUGCACCAGCAUGUGUUUAAAAUGCUGUGAGGCAGAGUCAGUCAAUAUGGGGGUGUUCGGUAACAAAACAUAAAGCAGACUCUUGUUCCCACAAUGCAAUAUACUCUUACACUUUUGUUUAGCAGACUUCGGAUAAGAGUAGAUUAAACCUCCUAGAACAGCUCAUUCAAUGGAAGCAUGUUAAAAUGCAUGUUCUCUUAGACAUCAAAAAAAGUAAAUGCGAUAUUCUUAUGUCUUACACUAGAUAAAACAAAAUACAAACAACAAAGCCCACACCAUUUAGUCUGUG